GACGGCCCGCCGGACAAGGCCCACAGGCCACAACAAGUGAGGCUUCCUCACCUGGGAGCCAGCGCUCCGGAGGCCUGAAAUAUACUAAAAGCAGCUUAAGACCACUCAGUGUUGUUCCUAUCCAUUCAGUGGUCUAAGCAGUGGGAGCUGCAGAACAGUCUUCACUGGCAGGCUGAGCACUCCGGUCUUCAGUAGAGGACUGCUGAAUAGGCAUAGAGGGCACCUGCACACCUUCAGUUCAGUCUGCAACUUCAGGUUGAGUAGCAGUGAACUCAGGAAGCUGCUCUUCCUUUUCAAUCUCUUCAAGAUCUCUGUAGAAGAAGAGACAGGUAGGACCUGAUGGUGCCACAGAUGUGCAGAACUUCCCAGGCCAGCAUCCACCACAUCAGACCCACUGAGUGAGCUCUCUUGUUGUAAGCGAUAGCAAUGUCUAUAUAGCACAUAGGAGAGUUUGUGUUACAUGAGCGACGGUAGCCAGGUUAACAUAAGAUGCCUCUGUGAGAGGCUAGUGGUCAGCCCUGGGAUCUGUAACCACCAGAAGUCUCGGUUCCAGGAAGGCUGCCUGGAUCUACUUAGUGAAGUUUCCAGGGGUGAAGCAGCCAGCAGCAGGGAGUGGCUCCAGUAGCAGCAGCAAACUUCAGCACAGCUCUCUGGCCAGUGUUCCCAGAUGAUAUGACACUGACAUCAGCUGGGUUUUCAAGGCUCCAAUGGCACAAGCUGCCAGCAGAAGCUUCUCUCAGGUUCUCUUCAGAUUUAUGAUGUAGAUCCCAUCACUUUUCCUUUUGUAGGUGUACUGUUCCAUUUGGAAAUCAAGGUUAGUGCCACUUAAGUGGGUUCCUGCUGCAAGGAAUUUGAGGACAUCCUCCUUCUUCAUUUGCAGGCCAUCAUGGGCUCCGAACAUUGUGAAAGUUUGCUUUAAGCUAUGAUGGGAAUGUAGAACAAGACCGCUGUGUGGCCCCUCUCUGGGUAAUUUGGAAAGCAAAGACCAGAAGAUUUAGAAGUGGCUAUUAUCAUCCGUAGUCCAUUGCUCAUUGCCUCCCAGAAGGACUUUACUCCCCUCAAGGUCAUCUCUCCACUCUUUUACAAGCCACCAACAGAAGAGAAUUUUCUCUCCACCUCUACUCCAACCUAUUUCAGGCUGGACUCCCGGUUAACUUAAAAAAUAGUCUACCAUGGCAUUAUUAUGCACAGCACUUGAGCUGUGUCCCAUGUGUCCAUUCCACUAUAAAAGAUGGCCUUUGCCUUCACUGAACCAAAAAGAACACUCAAGCAUUGCAAAGGGAUUUUCGGAGACAAAAGAGCAGUCUCUGUUCAAAACAUAAAUGGGAAAACUGCAAGGUGCUUUAGAAUAGCAGCGUAUCUCAGGUUUUGGCCACCAAGAUUUAAGAAACAUUGACACCAAGUCUCAGGCCACUCCAGUACAACACAUUUUUUUUUCUCCCUCACUAAUAGCACCUGCGCAUACCUAAUGCUGAAAUGUUAGACCCCCUCUAUGAAAAGUGGAGGGCUUUGGAAUUACCUCAGUCGAAUCUCUGGGCCUCAUCAGGAAGCAAUAACUCUCGAGUGUAGCAACUGCCAGCCACCGCCUGCACCUGACAUUUUGCCACUUGGUGAGCUCGCUGACCUAUCAUCCCCAGGAGAGGCAUGGGCCGAUGCCCAUCCAGUGGUCAAGGAGUGGGACCACGCUUACUCCAAACCCACCACUGUUGCACCCAUUCCUGGACUCAGGAACUCUUCACCAGAGGGCUAGAGGAGAAAACCAAAGCCAUAUGGAGAAAUAAGGACAUUGAGGUUUGGAUAACUUGCACCCGUGUACUGUUGGAGGGGCACAUCCUCAUUGCUUAAGUUUUCAUUAGGCUAUCCUAAACGAUUGCCCAAUUUUCUGAAAAACAAAAUGACAACAAAAACUUUGUUGACAAAAAACAACAAAAAACUUCUCCUCUUCCCUCUUCCCCUCUCCUCCUCCUCCUCCUCUUCCUCUUGCUGAGAUCCUCUCCUUCAAGCCUUUCCAGGGCCCAUCCCAAUUUUCCUCAAAACCUACCUCUCCUCCACAGAACAAUAAAGACCCAGCCCUCCAAUUCAUUGCUCAGUCUUGAACAUUUUCCCUUUACCAGCAUUCUCAGAGUAUUAAAAGAUUUAUUGUCAGCUUUGGUUUUGCUGACCCCUGCCCGAACUCUGGUCCAUUUGAUAGAAGUAGAUUGAAGCCCAUAGGUGAGAUGCUGUUGGUUUGGGCUUUAUGUACAUAAAAUCCAACAUAGCUCAUCACCCUAAAUAUUAAUUUCCUUCUGGGAACCAACUCUGGUAUUCAAGAAAAACGUAUCCUCCUAAUAAUGAGGACUUUGAUCUUAUUCAGUCUAAUAAUAACCUUGGCCUUAUUAUCCCAAAGCAAGUGUAGUUCCUUGUCCUAGAUUUUAUUAGAAAAGUUGCUCACAUUAACUUCAGGUUUGGCCUGCCUUGUGAAGAAGUAUCUGAGCCUAUUUUCUAAUCUAUAAAAUACAGUUAAUCAAAUCUGCCUCUCAGAUCUGUGGGCCAGUUAAAUGUGCUUACGUAUGUGAAGGACUGACUUCAGUAUCCAGCAUGGCUAAGUGCUUAAUGUUUCUCUUCCCUCUUCUUCCUUCAGUUAUCUAAUAAGCCAUUUAAUUUGUCAGUUCCACAAUCCUACACUUUCCUGCAUUCUCCAUGGAUCCGCCUUUUCUCCUCUCCAAACCCAUCAAACGUACUAUCAUUCAAGGCCUGAUCACUUCUCAGGCCUUCCCAAAAGCCACCUCCUCUUGUAUUCUGUCCCUUUUCUAUCUAUUUGCAGGGUGAUCUCUCUUGUGUUGUCUUUUGUUGUUGUUUUGUUCUCUGAUGUGGCUGUUGUUGCUAAGGAAGGUAAAUUUAUAGUGUUCUUAUUUAUUAAGGAAAGUAAAUGUAUAAAUUAAAUUUGUGGUUUUCUGUUACCAUA